rnacentral:rRNA from 1 species
CGGCAGGCCUAAUACAUGCAAGUCGUACGGCAACACAGUUGCGAGCAAUCGCAACCGGUGGCGAGUGGCGCACGGGUGAGUAACGCGUAUGUAACCUACCCUUCUCCGGGACAUAACUCCGCGAAAGCGGUGCUAAUAUCCCAUACCAACUCAUCAAGACAUCUUCUUGAGUUGAAAGCAGCAAUGCGGUGAAGGAUGGGCAUGCGUCCCAUUAGCUGGUUGGUGAGGUAAUGGCCCACCAAGGCUACGAUGGGUAGGGGUUCUGAGAGGGAAGUCCCCCACACUGGUACUGAGACACGGACCAGACUCCUACGGGAGGCAGCAGUGAGGAAUAUUGGUCAAUGGGUGAGAGCCUGAACCAGCCAUCCCGCGUGCAGGAUGACGGUCCUAGUGAUUGUAAACUGCUUUUCUAUGAGAUGAAUAAGAAUUACGUGUAGUUCGAUGACCGUAUUAUAGGAAUAAGCAUCGGCUAACUCCGUG